rnacentral:rRNA from 1 species
UACGUAGGUGGCGAGCGUUGUCCGGAAUUACUGGGUGUAAAGGGCAUGUAGGCGGAGAUGUAAGUCAGAUGUGAAAUGCCAUGGCUUAACUGUGGAGCUGCAUCUGAAACUAUGUUUCUUGAGUGCUGGAGAGGAAAGCGGAAUUCCUAGUGUAGCGGUGAAAUGCGUAGAUACACGGAGGAACACCAGUGGCGAAGGCGGCCUGCUGGACAUUAACUGACGCUGAGGCGCGAAAGCGUGGGUAGCAAAC